AAGCAUUUGCCAAGGAUGUUUUCAUUAAUCAAGAACGAAAGUUGGGGGCUCGAAGACGAUCAUAUACCAUCCUAGUCUCAACCAUAAACGAUGCCAACUAGGGAUCAAUGGAUGUUUCUCUAGGGACUCCGCCAACACCUUAUGAGAAAUCAGAGUGUUUGGGUUCCGGGGGGAGUAUGGUCGCAAGGAUGAAACUUAAAGGAAUUGAUGGAAGGGAAUCGCUAGGAGUGGAUCCUGCGGCUUAAUUUGACUCAACACGGGAAAACUUACUGGGUCCAGACAUAGUAAGGAUUGACAGAUUGAGAGCUCUUUCUUGAUUCUAUGGGUGGUGGUACAUGGUCGUUCUUAGUUGGUGGAGCGAUUUGUCUGGUUAAUUCCAAUAAUGAACGAGACCUCAGCUUGCUAACUAGCUACGUGGAGGUUGCCCUUCGUAGCUAGUGUCUUAGAGGGACUAUGGUCAUUUAGGUCAUGGAAGUUUGAGGCAAUGAUAGGUCUGUGAUGGCCUUAGAUGUUCUGGGCCGCACGUGCGCUACACUGAUGCAGUCGACAAGUUUUUCUCCCUCGUUCAAGAGGAUCAGGAAAUUAUUGCAUUGUGAUGGGGAUAGACCAUUGAAAUUAGUGGUCUUGAAUGAGGAAUUCCGAGUAAGCAUUUUUCAUCAUCUCAUGUUGACUACGUCCAUGCCCUUUGUACACACCACCCAUCACUCCUAUCGAUUGAAUGAUCCGAUGAAGUGUUUGGAUCGCGUCAAUGAGGGUGGUUCAUCGCUGACGAUGUCGUGAGAAGUUCAUUGAACCUUAUCAUUUAGAGAAAGGAUAAGUCGUAACAAGGUUACCGUAGGUGAACCUUCCAAAUAUUUAUGU
rnacentral:ncRNA from 1 species